AGGUGCUUGCAUACGUCAAGAGCCGGACGAUACCAGGGCUCUUCUUGUAACGUGGCCUCAGACAAAUCGUCCUUAGAGCUCUCGUACAGCUACGCGGUCGUGUCUUUCGCCAUUCUCACAAAGCGCGAGUUCGGAUCGCAAGAGGAUCAAAUCUCGAAACUAAAACGGUCCGCAUCAGCGCGGAGUAAUCUCCGCAGACGUCACAAACAGAGUUGGUAAGCUCUUCCUCGUGUCUGAUUAUUCUUGAACUACUUAGACAGUCGUAAAAUGAGGCUGCGACUUUUAUCACUUCUACACGCGCGCAAGGCCAUGAAAGGCUCUAUCUACUCCUAUUAGUUGGCUGAUAGACGACGUGAUUGUCAAUUGAAGAACCGUGCAUGCACGCAGCCUGCGAUGUAACCCGCUUUGUCAAGUUAAAGUGCACGACCUAGAUGCGAGCGCGAAAUCAGGUCGCAGCUCGGCGGUCGCGGCGACUGCGCGCGGAAGAAAAUUCACGCACGGCGAAAAAUUGAGAUAACAACCA